GAAGAGGCCUCCAACACACCCACAAGUCAGUGUUUUGACGCGUGGGGUGACAGCUCCUGGGUUCCAGUGGGUUUCGGAUAUAAGUUGACUGGUGACAGAAAAGUGGAUGCAUGUCUCUUUGUUCAACAAGUAAAUGGCGAUUCAUGUGAGUCACCUAAGCUAUAUGAAAGAGAAGCGCUGCACACAUAUCUGUUGAAUGUGUAUGACAACAUGUUGCAGCAUCUGGUAUUUUUAGAGUCGAAUGACUUGUCCAGCUCAGCCUUCUCUUCAACAGCCUCACAUUUUCUUGCCCAAAAAUGCUGAGUGACCUGUAGCACUGAUCUUGACCAUUCUGACAAGCACACCCUAAGUGGUAAGAAUUGGUAACCAUCUCCUCCACAGCGACCCUGUGUCCCGGUUUCUCCCCGUGUUUGCCCGAGGACUCCAUUACCCACGGUCCUCCACGCUCCCGAAUCUGUUUCGUGUCUGCAAUCCCUACACCUGUCAACAGUCCCCUCACCACCCAUGAACUAUAUAUUCUGUACCUGUGUGUUCUGUCAGUGUAGCCUUUCACCUGUCAGUGACACCUCAAAUUUUAGAAGAGUAUUGGUGAAGAGCCAUGAUGACAAUAUUUUGGGAAAUAACUGCAGCUGCUUAAAAUGUCGACAUUUUCAUAUCAAUCACUGGGAUGUCGGAUUCAUGUUAGAACAUCAGCUUCAUGGGGUUAUUUUUAAAAGAAUAGGUUCAAAACAAUAUUUGAAUCAUUUAAGCAAUCCCUGUAUGUCUUAACCCAACAAUUUUUGUAUUUGAAUACAAAAUAUGACAUUUAAUACUGAAAUCUAUCUAUGUGUUAUUAUUUGUAGCUUGACCAGCCAAAAUGCAUAUGAUACAUAAAGUAUAAGAUUUGAUUAUUUUAAGGAGUAAAUUUACAUUUUUGGCUUUUGUCUUUGUCUUUUUUGUUUAGGAGCUACUGUAGGGUUGACAAUCUUCCAAAAAAAAGCAUAUCACAAUUUCUAUUAAAAACCAUAUAUAAUAUGUUGCGUUCUUUCUGAUUCUAAAAUUUAGACAUAUGUGUUUGCACAAUUCAUGACAUUGAUUUAACCAUUGUGACACUGCAACAACAUGCAGAAUGCAUGGUUCCUGGGUCCUUUAUCACAAUGAUAUCAUAGGUUUGUAUAAGAAUAACGCUUGUUAUUACUAUUAAUAAAAAAUGAUCUUUUAUUUUAUUUAAAUAUUAACUUUUAUUAUUACAGUAUUAUAGUUUUUGCAUUGUUAUAAAAUUCUUUCAUUUGGUAAUUUCUCAUUUCAUUUGAUAAUCAUUUGUUUUUUUUAUGGCUAGUUUAGGAAGACAAAGUGAUUUAAAGCCUUAAAAAAAUGUUUUACCAGGAUCCAAAAUCCCAUUGAGACUUCACAUUCUCUUUUUCCGGGGGUCAAGACAGUGGCACACAAAGUUUCACACAAAACAAGACACAUAGUACUCAGUACCAAAAACAAGUAAAUCAAGAUAAACACUUAAGGCUUGGUUUUAAAGGAAUCUUUUAAAACAGAAUACAAAAUACAUUUAAAAGUGCAUGAGGAUAGAAAGGACACCAAUUUAAAUACCCUUUGCAAAUCAUUACAUGCCCAAUGGGCAUAAAAUGAAAAUCACAUUUACCAAAUUCUGAGGACACGUUUGGAUUUUUUUAAGUUGAAAUACGAUUGAGAUGCAAUAACUAUUUGUGUACAAGGUUAAAAGAUUAGAUUAGCUAAUUUGCCCAGAGGUGUCUAAGAAAUAAAUAUAUGAACUUUCCUCCUAAAAUUUAAAUAUGAGCAUGACACAGAUUCAUGUAAUAUUCAAUGAUCAGAGCGUGAAUCUGCACCACACACAAAAAGUAAUGCCGCACGGUAGACAAUAUCCAAUUUCCUUAAUACGGAAGAGGCUGCAUACAUGUAAACAGUGUCCCCAUAAUCUAUAGACAAAACCUCUCUAUAAAUGUCUUUCUCUCCUCAUAAUUAAUGCAGCUUUUCAAACGAUAAAGAAACCUCAGUUCGGGUUUGAGUUUUCUCAACAAAUUAUCAAUGUUUACAUUAAAACCCAAUUUCUCAUCAUUCAAUAUACCUAUAUAUUUAUAGGAGCCAACUAUUUCAAUAUGUUUACCAUCUAGAGUUGAGGUUACCACAUCUGGUUCCUUACAUUUAUAUUAACGCAUUCUGCCGAUUAAAUUGGAUUAUCCUACACAUUUAUACAUAGGUAUGUGCUAUCCCCUGGGAUCGAACCCUCAACCUUGCGUUGUUAACGUAAUACUCUUAUCACUGAUUUGUAUUGAUUAAAACCAAAUUCAUCUAUAACAGUGAGCAUUGAAUUACAUAAAACAGAUUUUGUAAGUUUAUUAAUGUUUGGUUUACAGAAGAUGCUGCUAACUGUAUCAUCAGUGUAUACAUGUAUAUUAGCUGAAUCCACUCCAAAGACUAAAUCAGACAUGAAACACAGAUACGAGACACAGACGGGUCUUUUCCCAUAUGUCUUGCCUGACUGCCUAAUGUUUAUUUUUCAGUGAGGGGAAUACAGUAAUGUUCUGCCUCUUUUCCUGUGACAUAGCUUUUCAACUAUUUUGCUGCCCAGAAAUUCAUGCCGUCUCAACAUGAUCUGUGUACAUCAUGGAUAUUAUACAGUAUAUUAUUUGGUCCCCACUGUGCAUAACUGAUACAGGGCAGUACUUGUUACUAUGUAGCCUAUGUACUGUUACAUUUUAUU